rnacentral:rRNA from 1 species
UACAGAGGGUGCAAGCGUUGUUCGGAAUUAUUGGGCGUAAAGGGAGUGUAGGCGGCUUAUUAAGUCUCAUGUGAAAGCUCUAAGCUUAGCUUGGAAAGUGCAUGAGAAACUGGUAGGCUGGAGUGUCAAAGAGGAGAGCGGAAUUCCCGGUGUAGAGGUGAAAUUCGUAGAGAUCGGGAGGAACACCAGUGGCGAAAGCGGCUCUCUGGUUGACAACUGACGCUGAGACUCGAAAGCAUGGGGAGCAAACAGG